CCUACGGGGGACUGCAGUGGGGAAUAUUGGGCAAUGGGCGCAAGCCUGACCCAGCAACGCCGCGUGAAGGAAGACGGCUUUCUGGUUGUAAACUUCUUUUAAUAGGGAAGAGCAGUAUACGUUACCUCUUGCAUAGUCCACGGCUAACUACUUUCCAGCAGCCGCGGUAAUACGUAGGUGGCAUGCGUUGUCCGGAUUUACUGGUUGUAAAGGGCUUGCUGCCGGGAAGACAAGUCAGUUGUGAAAUCCCGCGGCUAAACAGCGGAACUGCAUUUGAAACUGUUUUUCUUGAGUACAGGGGAGGUCAUCGGAAUUCGUGGAGUAGCGGUGAAAUGAGUAGAUAUAAGGAAGAACAACAGUGGAGAAGGCGGAUGACGGGACGGCAACUGACGGGGAGGCGCGAAAGCGUGGGGAGCAAACAGGAUUAGAUACCCUUGUA
rnacentral:rRNA from 1 species